UGGGGGAUAUUGCACAAUGGGCGAAAGCCUGAUGCAGCGACGCCGCGUGGGGGAUGAAGGCCUUCGGGUUGUAAACUUCUUUUGCUCUGAACAAGGCAUGCCUUUGGGGUGUGUUGAGUGUAGGGGUUGAUUAGCGCCGGCUAACUACGUGCCAGCAGCCGCGGUAAUACGUAGGGCGCGAGCGUUGUCCGGAAUUAUUGGGCGUAAAGGGCUUGUAGGUGGCUGGUUGCGUCUGUCGUGAAAGCUCAUGGCUUAACUGUGGGUUUGCGGUGGGUACGGGCUGGCUUGAGUGCAGUAGGGGAGGCUGGAAAUCCUGGUGUUGCGGUGGAAUGCGCAGAUAUCAGGAGGAAUACCGGUGGCGAAGGCGGGUCUCUGGGCUGUUACUGACGCUGAGGAGCGAAAGCGUGGGGAGCGAACAGG
rnacentral:rRNA from 1 species